CCGCAUUAGCAUAUUCCUAAGAGAAUGUACGCUUUGCAAAUUCUAAUGCGCAAUUUAUUUCUCGGGCCAUCCGUCCUCCAAUUACAAUUAAAUGUAGAACCCACAUAAGUCUACCGCAUAGUCAGCGGAUACUUUCGUUUCAACUCCCUGAGGGUGUUUUUCUUUCAUUGGAUCAGUAGAAGGAAAGAGUGAGCGAAACGAACUAAAAUGGGGUCAAUCGCAAAGAAUGGAUUAGAACAGUAUUUGAUACAACUCCAACAACACCCUUUGAGAACCAAGGUCUUAACCUUCUUGUAAUGUUAUUUUUUUUAAAGAAUUUUUGUAUUCAUGGGCUUGAUUGUUUCUGGGUAUUUAGGAAUUUUAAUUAUUCAAGAAAUAUUGAAUUCGGAUUUUGCAGAUGAUAACUGCAGGAACGCUGUCAGCGAUCAGUGAUAUAGUGGCGCAGAAGCUCUCUGGUAUUCAAAAGCUUCAACUCAGACGCCUUCUUCUCAAAGUGGUAAUGUUAUACAUUUUUCUCCUUUCUUUAUUUAUGUAUAAUUAAACUGCAGACAUAUAUGUUGGCAUAUUACACAGCAGUUUCUACUGUAUUGAGGGUUGAAUCCAUGAUUUCUGCCCCUCAAUCUUAUUUGUCUAAAUUUUUUUGAUUUGAUCCCAUUCUUUCUUGUGAAUUGUCUUUCCUGAAAAUAACACUCUAAUUGUUUUCCCCUCGUGUACUAAUUUUAUAUGUGAAUAAUUUUCUGUAUUGGCAUAGAUUGAAAGGCUUGAUUAAGUAAGUAAUCCAAAGCCUAGACAGUAGAGUAGAGUAGAUUUGAACAUAUUUUUGUUCUUUAAUACUGUUCAGUCUGUAUGAAUCCUAAAUUCCAUGAUUGUUGUGUGAAAGGUGGGGGUAGGUAACAUAAAUUUAAGGGGUAAUAAGUUAAUAAAUUUAUUAGAGAUUUAUUCAUGAUAAGAUAAGGUCUCUAAUAACUCGUUAAGGGGAGUCUCUGUAAUUUCUAGAAGAGAAGAAGCCCCUUAUAAUUGUAGAUAUGCUAUCAAUUUUCAAGAGUCAUAUUAGAUCAAUUGUCGGUUUGCAAAAAAUUGAUGUCUAACCCACUUUUCUUUUAUUGAAAUCUCAUUGAAACAGAAACGAAUUAGAGUGUCCAGUGACUCUGCUCAGUAGGAAGAACGAAAAGAAAUUGCAAAGUAACAUAUUCUUUUUGGCCACAUUGGCAAAACACGUGCAAUUAGAAACACUAAAAUUUGGGAGGAAAGAAAAGAACAUCCUUUAACUGCAUCUUCUUUCAAUUCCAUAUUCUUCCAACCAAAAGAAACUAACAGGUAGAUGCUUUUACUAGAUUUUGUUUUCCUCUUCCUUCCUUUUCUUCUUUCACUUGAUAUAAUAGCGUCGAUAUCUAUAAGAAUGUUUACCUCCUCUGUAAAUGAGAAUUGUGCUGAGCAUGAUGAUUUUUUCCCCCCCACAAAUCAUAACUCAUCAUAAGUAUGGCUUUUAGGGCUGUGUCGGCCACACAGUUGAUAAAAAGAACGAUUAUAUGCUUUACCAUGUAUUGUACCCCACCUCCUCUAAAAGUAUAAGCUUUUAAGCUUUUAGAUAGGGAACAACAUUUAAAUUCAUUUUCAGCACACCCCUUCAUGUGCUGCCAAGAUUCAUUUCUGCAUUAAAGGUCUUACAUGCGCACAAUUUUCAUAAAUGAGUGACAAAAAAAUUUGAAUUUUAGACCCUCCUCUUUUGUGAUACCAUGUCAAACUGUUUCACCUUAAGGUUCAAGAUUUUAGAGAGGAAAAAGUUCUUAUUUAAAAAAAUUUCUUCUAACACUAUGAAACUAAGUUUUACACAUACUUGAUAACUUUUACCUAAAUGCAGAUUUUUGGUGCUGCCUAUCUGGGACCAUUUGGGCAUUUUUUUCACAUUUUUCUCGACAAGAUUUUUAAAGGGAAGAAGGAUACAAAAACUGUUGCCAAGAAGGUACUCCACACACCCCUGUUCUCUGAUACUUUCUGUCAUCACUUGCUGCUUUUUUAUUUUCGUAUUUUGGCAUCUUCCUUGUCAAAAGAAGGUCCUGUAUUCACACGGGUAAAAUAAUUAGAUUGAGAAAAAGCUAGAAUUAUCAUUUAAAUGCAAUAGUAUAUUAUUUCAGGUGGUACUGGAGCAACUGACUUCUUCGCCUUGGAACAAUAUGUUUUUCAUGAUUUACUAUGGGUUUGUUGUUGAGGGUGAGUCUUUCUUGCACCUUCUCAACCUGUAAAUUAUAUCAGCCAAUUAUGAACAAUAAACAAAAAUGGAG
rnacentral:lncRNA from 1 species